rnacentral:rRNA from 1 species
UACGAAGGGGGCUAGCGUUGCUCGGAAUCACUGGGCGUAAAGCGCACGUAGGCGGAUUGCUAAGUCAGGGGUGAAAUCCUGGAGCUCAACUCCAGAACUGCCUUUUGAUACUGGCGACCUUGAGUUCGGGAGAGGUGAGUGGAACUGCGAGUGUAGAGGUGAAAUUCGUAGAUAUUCGCAAGAACACCAGUGGCGAAGGCGGCUCACUGGCCCGAUACUGACGCUGAGGCGCGAAAAGCGUGGGGAGCAA